rnacentral:rRNA from 1 species
UACGUAGGUGGCGAGCGUUGUCCGGAAUAACUGGGCGUAAAGGGAGCGUAGGUGGUUGAUUAAGUUAAAUGUGAAAGCCCAGGGCUCAACUCUGGAACUGCAUUUAAUACUGGUCGGCUAGAGUACAGGAGGGGUAAACGGAAUUUCUAGUGUAGCGGUGAAAUGCGUAGAUAUUAGGAGGAACACCAGUGGCGAAGGCGGCUUACUGGACUGUAACUGACGUUGAGGCUCGAAAGCGUGGGGAGCAAACAGG